rnacentral:rRNA from 2 species
GCGAGUGAAGCGGCAAGAGCUCAAAUUUGAAAUCUGGUACCUUCGGUGCCCGAGUUGUAGUUUGAAGAUUGUACUCUGGUGCUGGCCCUUAUCUAUGUUCCUUGGAACAGGACGUCACAGAGGGUGAGAAUCCCGUGCGAUGGGGAGUGCGGCGCCAUGUAGAGUGCUCUCGAAGAGUCGAGUUGUUUGGGAAUGCAGCUCUAAGUGGGUGGUAAAUUCCAUCUAAAGCUAAAUAUUGGCGAGAGACCGAUAGCGAACAAGUACAGUGAUGGAAAGAUGAAAAGAACUUUGAAAAGAGAGUGAAAAAGUACGUGAAAUUGUUGAAAGGGAAGGUUAUUAGAUCAGACUUGGCGUUUGGCGAUAUUCGGCUCCUCGUGGGCCGUUCACUCGUCUUUCGCUGGGCCAGCAUCGGUUUGGGUGGCAGGACAAUGGCUGUUGAACGUGGCUUGCCUCGGCAAGUGUUAUAGCUUCAGCUGAUACUGCCUACCUAGACCGAGGACUGCGGCUUCUGCCUAGGAUGCUGGCGUAAUGAUCUAAUAUCGCCC